CCUCCCUUCCCCCUCCCUCUCCCCUUUCGCUUUGAUUUCUCUCUCCUCCUCCCCCUGUGCUCGCCGUGUGUGUGUGUGUUUUUCGCCGCCGCCGCCGCUCUCCACCGAGCCCCUUGGCAUGAGUUAAGCACCAGCGAUGGACACCAAACACUUCCUGCCACUGGAUUUCUCAAACCAAGUCAAUUCCCCAUCCCUGAACUCUCCGACGAGCCGAGGCCCCAUGGCCACCCCAUCCCUGCACCCGUCCAUUGGGCCGGGCAUCGGCUCCUCGCUGGGCUCUCCGGGCCAGCUGCAUUCACCCAUCAGCACCCUGAGCUCGCCCAUCAAUGGCAUGGGGCCACCCUUCUCCGUCAUCAGCUCCCCCAUGGGCCCACACUCGAUGUCUGUCCCCUCCACACCCAGCCUGGGAUUCGGCACCAGCAGCCCACAGCUCAACUCACCCAUGAACCCCGUCAGCAGCUCAGAAGACAUCAAGCCACCCCUGGGGCUCAAUGGAGUCCUCAAAGUGCCAGCACAUCCCUCAGGAACAAUGGCCUCCUUCACCAAGCACAUAUGUGCCAUCUGCGGGGACAGAUCUUCAGGUAAACAUUAUGGGGUGUACAGCUGUGAGGGCUGCAAAGGCUUCUUCAAACGCACGGUGAGGAAGGACCUGACCUACACCUGCCGUGACAACAAGGACUGCUUGAUCGACAAGCGCCAGCGCAACCGCUGCCAGUACUGCCGCUACCAGAAGUGUCUUGCCAUGGGGAUGAAGAGGGAAGCUGUGCAGGAGGAGAGGCAGCGGGGGAAAGACCGCAACGAGAACGAGGUGGAGUCCACAAGUAGCGCCAACGAGGACAUGCCUGUGGAGAAGAUCCUGGAAGCAGAACUCGCUGUGGAGCCAAAGACAGAGACGUACAUUGAGGCAAACAUGGGCCUGACGCCGAGCUCGCCUAAUGACCCGGUGACGAACAUUUGCCAGGCGGCCGACAAGCAGCUCUUCACCUUGGUGGAGUGGGCCAAGAGGAUCCCCAGGUUCUCUGCGCUGCCAUUGGACGACCAGGUCAUCCUGCUCAGGGCCGGUUGGAAUGAGCUCCUCAUCGCCUCCUUCUCCCAUCGCUCCAUUGCUGUUCAGGACGGGAUCCUGCUGGCCACUGGGCUGCACGUGCACCGCAACAGCGCGCACAGCGCCGGCGUCGGGGCCAUCUUUGACAGAGUACUGACAGAACUCGUGUCGAAGAUGCGAGACAUGCAGAUGGACAAGACGGAGCUGGGCUGCCUCAGGGCCAUCAUCCUCUUUAACCCAGGUAUGUGCAGCCACCUCCUCUUGUGGCUGAUGCUGUGUCCUUUGGACUCCUUUUAUUACCCAUACAGCUCUCUUGCAAUUCACUGUGUGCGCUGCUGAGAAUGGGGCAGCAGGGACAGCUUACAGGCAUGUCCCAUGCCAGGUCUGGAUCCAUGCAUUGCCCCCAAUGACUCUCCUUUCCUAGAGGUGUUUUCCCCUCCCUCUUUGGAGGGGCUUUGGUUUGAUCCAUGUGUGCCUUCUCCCCAUUCUUAGCAUUCCAGCUUUGCAGAGUUGUGCUGCUGUAGGGAGUUGUUUCUAAACAGGAGCAAAAGUGGAUCUAGGUCUUUAAGAAAGACACAGGUAUGGAUCAGGGCAAAGGCAGAACAUGUUGUUAUUAUUAUUGUCCCCGUUCCCUGAUCCCACGCCAGGCUUUUCAGCAGGGUUCAGCGCUGUCUCUUGGUUUCGUUUUUCAGCUUGGCUUUUUAUUUCUUUCCUUCUUAUAAUCACCAGCAAUUUGUUGUCUGCUAUUUGGGAUGUAGCCGUAUUUGGUAAAAGAAGGCGAAACUGGAGAGGUUCCCAUCAUGUAUGUGCUUGGGGACAGUGACUUUGUCCCUGCUAAAUCCAGGUCCUUGUCACAUCAUGGGGUCCCCGAACAGGGGCUUUUCUUACAUCCCUGCUUAUAGGGCUUGGUGUGGGAGGGAGAAAUCCCUCGUGCUGAUGCCUUGAAGGCUUCAAACCUUUUGCUGAGGGUCUGUGACCACUGGAACGAGCCAAAUGGUUUGGGUUGGGAUAUGGAGUGUGGUGAAAUGGUGCACGGGGAGGCCUUGUACCCAUCUUAGGGCUGGCAACUGAUGUUCCCUUUCCUCACCCUUCAGACUCAAAAGGGCUCUCCAACCCGGCUGAAGUGGAGGCACUACGGGAGAAGGUGUACGCAUCGCUGGAGGCGUACUGCAAGCACAAAUACCCCGACCAGCCUGGGAGGUUCGCCAAGCUGCUGCUCCGCCUUCCGGCCCUUCGCUCCAUCGGCCUCAAAUGCCUGGAGCAUUUGUUCUUCUUCAAGCUAAUAGGCGACACGCCGAUCGACACCUUCUUGAUGGAAAUGCUGGAAGCACCCCAUCAAAUGACAUAGAGAACUGCCGCUGGGUCAGUCCUUCACCCGGCCAGGGCCAUGCGGGCUCCGUCCUCUGCUUCCUCCUCCUCUGCCCCAGCCCCUUCCCUCUGCUCCCCAAAUGCUGGAGGCACCGUCCGAGCUUCUCCGCGUGGUCCCCGGGGUGAACCCGCACCUCCUUGCCGCCUCAUCACGUUGACCCUUUUGUCCGUUCGCUGUCACUGCUGCAUCUAAAGACUUCUGAUGGCUGUUUUUUCCCCCCUGCGGUAGAUGUAGAGGAGUGGGGACGGAUGGCUUCGCAUCAGUGCCAGGAUGGCACGAACGUCAUGGGAGCAGGGAUGGUCUUAUCCAUCCCAUCCCAGCCCCACAGUGGGGUAUGGACUAGUCAAGGGAGUUGUUCGGCUCGCCGGAUUACAGCUGGCAAUUAUCAGAGGAUGGAGUUGGUUUUUUUGGUUUUUUUUUGGUGGUGUUUUUUUGGUUGUUAUUUUUUUGGUGUUUUUUUUUUUUUUUUUUUGGACAAGAGAAGAGGAAAAAAAAAAAAAGAAAAAAAAAAAAAGAAAAAGAAAAUGAUUCUAUUUUUGGUUUCUAACUAUUCUUAGUAGUCUCAGCAGUUCCUUCGCGAAGGGAGAGGCUGUGGGGAGGGGUGGCCCUCAUUGGGCCCUACCGGUGAGUCACCGCAUAGAGCCUCAUCCUCUCUGCUCAAAGCAAAGGGUUUGGGACUGAGCUCGAUCCCCCUUUGAACAACAUGGAGCUGCCCUGACCCCCUUCUGCUGCCCCCCAGUGAUGCUGCUCCUCUGGGACACGUGGCUGUGGUGCACUUGCUUUAAGGCUGAUAGGGAUGUGGUUCCAGCUUCCUGCAGCUCAUGUAGGGUCUUGCUGGGCUUCCUGCCCUUAUUUCUGUGCCCAACGUCCUGGCACAGCCCUGCAGGAGCUGCCUUAUUGCAGGUGCUGUCAUGCUGGAGCUGGUGGCUCAGCAGUUCUGCUGGAUUCUGUAGGUCCUAAGUUUGUGGAGGGGUAUUUCCAGCCAGAAGGUGGGCUCAGCAAAACACCCCACAUGCAGACUGUGGGGAGCAGCAGCCCUGCAACUGCCAGCACCCCAUGCAUGGUGUUUCAGCAGCUGCAAGGCAGCAGUUAGUGGGAGCUCUCAGCCCUGCUGCUCCCUGGGGGUGUUCAUUGGCAAUGAUGCAGGAAUGGGGUUCACUGUCCCUGAAUAUCCCUCAUUGGAAUGGUGGAGUGCCUGUGCCCUUCACCUCACGCUCUUGCAUUAACCAGGUGAGAAAAUGAGCGAGGAAAGCCGAGUGAAGUCUCUCAAUGGGGGUUUCUCCCUCUACAACAGGAUCGAGUAUCCCGAACUUGCCAUGGGCUGGGGGGAACCAAGGCUGAGUGCCUGCAGUUGGCCCUAAAAUGAGGGCUUCCCUGUGGCUUUCAUGUCUGCUGUGCUUCAAGACAGCAAAGUGUUUGGAUCCAAAGAGAAUGCGAUCUCCUGCAGAGCCCACCACCAUCUGCUCUGUGCCUGGGGAAUGCAGUUGUCACCUGCCUGUCCUCACCCCACUGGCAGCUUAAGUCCCAGCUCUAUCCCCAUCAGACCAUCUCCUCGCUACAGAAGUACUCAGGAUUUCAGGUCUGGCCCGAAAUGGCAAAUCCACAGAGGUGGGGAAAGUCUUUUGGCCGUCUUUCUCCAGCAGCCUGCAUGCCUCUGAAAAUAUUAUUAAACUGCUUCACCCUGGAAGAAUUUGCCAAGAAAAUAAGGCGAGAGAAAUGAAAUGUAGUGAGGGUGCUGAUAAACAGGGCUGCUCAGUGCCAGCGCAGCGUGAGUCUGGGGGCUGGCAGCAGUGGGGUCAGGGCGUGCUGGGGGUCGGUUGGCUGUGCACUAUAAUAAACCUGGACCCUUGUUUAUCUCCCUUGGGUAGAACCACUUCUUUUUUUUUUGUUUCUUUUAAUGAUUGACUGCUUGGAAGGGGCUGUUUUGGUUUGCACUGUUGGGCGACUGAGCAUGUGCCCUCUUCCCAUCCUUAUCCACCCCAUCCAUCAUAUCCAUCCCAUCUCUUCAAUCCCAUCCCAUCUAAUCGUGUCACAUCCCUUCACCUCCAUCACAUCUCAUCCCAUCCCAUUCCAUCCUUCCCAUCUGUCUCAUGCAUCCCAUCCUUCACACCCCACCCUCUCCCAUCUAUAUCAUUCAUCCCUUCCCGUCUCGCUCCGUCCCAUCCAUCCCACCCUGGUUACUGUUUGACCCCUACAAACACAAAUGCUGCGAGCAGUGGGCUGCCCUCAGCAUACAGCAGGUUGCAAAGCCCCCAUGCUGGGGUUCCCAGUCAGGACACAUCUCCAUGCCUUGGUUUCCCCAGAGCAGCACAUUGCUGGGAUUCCUGCCCCAUCGAGAUGAGGCUUUAGGGAAAGGCUGAGUGUUGUCCUGGCGUCAAGGGAGCUCCCACCUUGCUGUAAGUCAGCAUAGCUCUCUUUCACAGCAGCAGCCUUUUGGGGCUUAGCUCCCAGAGAUGAGCCCUGAUCCCCCAUCCAAGGCAGAAGGAUGAGCUCCCAUGCCCCGCUAUCACCUGCCGCAGCAGCCUUAAAGCAACCUGCUCUUGCAUGAGUUUGGCUCUUCAAUCUAUAUUCCUUUCCACUUUUUGGCUUUUAAUUAGUAUUAUUUUUUCCCCUCAUCGUAGUUAUUCUGACUAUAUUACGUGCUUGUUCGAAGAGGUGAUACAUGGGCGAAAGAAAGGUAAAAAAUAAAGGCACAUUAUCCACUAGCGAGGUAGGACUUUCAUUUAACCAGAUCUUAGUACUCUUGCCAACAAUCUGGUUCCCAUUAGGGCAAUUAGUUUUGAAAUAUAUCUAUAUUUUGAAUUUCUUUCUUGGUGGGACAAUCUUUAAUUUUCUAAAGAUAGCACAAACAUCAGCUUUUCAGCUCCCAUCAUCCGGGCUCAAAGGUGAUGCUGUCCCCAUCAGAGACUGGGCUCAUCGAUAUGUGCGUGUGUAUACAUGUAUGUACUGUAGAUAUAUACACUGUACAAAUAGCCUCACUCACAUAUACAUAUAUUAUGCCUGUAGCAAUGACAGACUUAUUUUUUUGUUGUUGUUUUAUGUUGAUUUCCCUUCUUUCCCUCCCCACAACGUGUUGUUUUUGCUACCCGUGAGCGAGUCCAUUGUAUGCGAACCCCUUUCCUGAUUGGCAAGCAAGCGCCAAAUCUGGGUCCUGGUAACUCGCGACAAAGGAGAUGCAUCUAUUUUAAGAUGCCUUUUUGUUUCGUUUCUGUUUCAUUCCCUUUGGUGUUGUUUUGGGUUGUUUUCCCUUUGGAGCAGCAGGUGGUGGUGAGGAGAAAUAGCUUUAGAUGUUCCCAAUGCUUAGCAAUGGAUGCCUUGGCUAUGGGGGGUUGCAUAGCUGAAAGAAACUACAGUAAAAUAUAGAAUGAUAACAGGAAAAAACACAAAAAAGAGGAAAGAUAAGGAAAAAAAAAUAUCUGAAGUGUCAAUAAAAGUUAAAAAAAAAAAAGAAAAAAAUAAGAAAAAAAAAUAUCUAUUUUUGUACAAAUGUAAUUUUAUCCCUGACGUUAUUACUUGGAUAUUUUUUUUUCUCCUGGAUUGUUUUUUGUUUCUUCUUACAGAGGUUGUUAUAAACGCUGUCUCUCUCUUUUUCUCUCACUUCUCCCUCUCUCUCUACGUGUCCGGGAUAGCGCUCAUAAGGGAGGGAGGAACUUCUGACCGUGUUUUAAAGGCUUUCUAUGAGAUCUCUUUUUGUUUGGAAUGAUUGGGGUUGGUUAUUUGGAACGAACUUCUUUCUUAUUUCCCCCUUCCCUCCCCCUAUAUCUCCUCCCCCCUGCUUACAAAAGUGUUUAUGAAGGGGGUUGGGAGGUGUAUAUGGAGGGAGGUGGGGGGAGUUGGGCUGGGGGUGUCUUUUGUCACACGUAUAUCUGGCGUUCCCGCAGGGCUGUAUUACUGUGAACUCACAACUACCGUCUGUUAUUAUUCACUUUAAAACAAAAACAAAAAAAGGCAAAAAGGAGAGAAAAAGAAAAAAAAAGAAGGAAAAAAAAAAAAAGAAACCUAAAAGAAUUGCUGCUGGAAAUGCCAGUAUUUGGAUGAACAAUUGUUGGUAGAAUUGUGGAGAAAAACAAACAAAAAAAAAAAAA